AUUGAACGCUGGCGGCAGGCCUAACACAUGCAAGUCGAGCGGAUGAAGGGAGCUUGCUCCUGGAUUCAGCGGCGGACGGGUGAGUAAUGCCUAGGAAUCUGCCUGGCAGUGGGGGAUAACGUCCGGAAACGGGCGCUAAUACCGCAUACGUCCAGAGGGAGAAAGUGGGGGAUCUUCGGACCUCACGCUAUCUGAUGAGCCUAGGUGGGAUUAGCUAGUUGGUGGGGUAAAGGCCUACCAAGGCGACGAUCCGUAACUGGUCUGAGAGGAUGAUCAGUCACACUGGAACUGAGACACGGUCCAGACUCCUACGGGAGGCAGCAGUGGGGAAUAUUGGACAAUGGGCGAAAGCCUGAUCCAGCCACGCCGCGUGUGUGAAGAAGGUCUUCGGAUUGUAAAGCACUUUUAGUUGGGAGGAAGGGCAGUAAGUUGAUACCUUGCUGUUUUGACGUUACCAACAGAAUAAGCACCGGCUAACUUCGUG
rnacentral:rRNA from 1 species